rnacentral:rRNA from 1 species
UACAGAGGUGGCAAGCGUUGUUCGGAAUUACUGGGCGUAAAGGGCGCGUAGGCGGCCUUCUAAGUCAGACGUGAAAUCCCCCGGCUUAACCUGGGAACUGCGUCUGAUACUGGGAGGCUAGAGUGCGGGAGAGGGAUACGGAAUUCCAGGUGUAGCGGUGAAAUGCGUAGAUAUCUGGAGGAACACCGGUGGCGAAGGCGGCAUCCUGGACCGACACUGACGCUGAGGCGCGAAAGCUAGGGUAGCAAACGGG